rnacentral:rRNA from 1 species
UACGAAGGGGGCUAGCGUUGCUCGGAAUCACUGGGCGUAAAGGGUGCGUAGGCGGGUCUUUAAGUCAGGGGUGAAAUCCCGGAGCUCAACUCCGGAACUGCCUUUGAUACUGGGGAUCUUGAGUUCGGGAGAGGUGAGUAGAACUGCGAGUGUAGAGGUGAAAUUCGUAGAUAUUCGCAAGAACACCAGUGGCGAAGGCGGCUCACUGGCCCGAUACUGACGCUGAGGUGCGAAAGCGUGGGGAGCAAACAGG